GGUUAAGUACCCGCAACGAGCGCAACCCUUGUCUUUAGUUGCCAUCAUUAAGUUGGGCACUCUAAAGAGACUGCCGGUGUCAAACCGGAGGAAGGUGGGGAUGACGUCAAGUCCUCAUGGCCUUUAUGACCAGGGCUACACACGUACUACAAUGGCAGGUACAAAGGGCAGCCACUUAGCGAUAAGGCGCGAAUCCCGUAAAACCUGUCUCAGUCCGGAUUGGAGUCUGCAACUCGACUCCAUGAAGUUGGAAUCGCUAGUAAUCGCAGAUCAGCACGCUGCGGUGAAUACGUUCCCGGGCCUU
rnacentral:rRNA from 1 species